rnacentral:sRNA from 13 species
CGAAAACGACGGCCACAGACUAGGGCAUCAUGCAUAAAAUCGACAGACCAGCUCAGGUUCAGACUCCGGCAGGCCUGACGGAUACUGAGUUCGAACGUCGUUAUCAGAUGAGUAACCAGCUCACGCUUAAAGGCUGGUUUU